AUGAACGCUAGCUACAGGCUUAACACAUGCAAGUCGAGGGGCAGCAUGGUCUUAGCUUGCUAAGGCCGAUGGCGACCGGCGCACGGGUGAGUAACACGUAUCCAACCUGCCGUCUACUCUUGGACAGCCUUCUGAAAGGAAGAUUAAUACAAGAUGGCAUCAUGAGUCCGCAUGUUCACAUGAUUAAAGGUAUUCCGGUAGACGAUGGGGAUGCGUUCCAUUAGAUAGUAGGCGGGGUAACGGCCCACCUAGUCUUCGAUGGAUAGGGGUUCUGAGAGGAAGGUCCCCCACAUUGGAACUGAGACACGGUCCAAACUCCUACGGGAGGCAGCAGUGAGGAAUAUUGGUCAAUGGGCGAGAGCCUGAACCAGCCAAGUAGCGUGAAGGAUGACUGCCCUAUGGGUUGUAAACUUCUUUUAUAAAGGAAUAAAGUCGGGUAUGGAUACCCGUUUGCAUGUACUUUAUGAAUAAGGAUCGGCUAACUCCGUGCCAGCAGCCGCGGUAAUACGGAGGAUCCGAGCGUUAUCCGGAUUUAUUGGGUUUAAAGGGAGCGUAGAUGGAUGUUUAAGUCAGUUGUGAAAGUUUGCGGCUCAACCGUAAAAUUGCAGUUGAUACUGGAUAUCUUGAGUGCAGUUGAGGCAGGCGGAAUUCGUGGUGUAGCGGUGAAAUGCUUAGAUAUCACGAAGAACUCCGAUUGCGAAGGCAGCCUGCUAAGCUGCAACUGACAUUGAGGCUCGAAAGUGUGGGUAUCAAACAGGAUUAGAUACCCUGGUAGUCCACACGGUAAACGAUGAAUACUCGCUGUUUGCGAUAUACUGCAAGCGGCCAAGCGAAAGCGUUAAGUAUUCCACCUGGGGAGUACGCCGGCAACGGUGAAACUCAAAGGAAUUGACGGGGGCCCGCACAAGCGGAGGAACAUGUGGUUUAAUUCGAUGAUACGCGAGGAACCUUACCCGGGCUUAAAUUGCAGAUGAAUUACGGUGAAAGCCGUAAGCCGCAAGGCAUCUGUGAAGGUGCUGCAUGGUUGUCGUCAGCUCGUGCCGUGAGGUGUCGGCUUAAGUGCCAUAACGAGCGCAACCCUUGUUGUCAGUUACUAACAGGUUCCGCUGAGGACUCUGACAAGACUGCCAUCGUAAGAUGUGAGGAAGGUGGGGAUGACGUCAAAUCAGCACGGCCCUUACACCCGGGGCGACACACGUGUUACAAUGGCCGGUACAGAGGGCAGCCACGGGGUGACCCGGAGCGAAUCUCUAAAGCCGGUCGUAGUUCGGACUGGAGUCUGCAACCCGACUCCACGAAGCUGGAUUCGCUAGUAAUCGCGCAUCAGCCACGGCGCGGUGAAUACGUUCCCGGGCCUUGUACACACCGCCCGUCAAGCCAUGGGAGCCGGGGGUACCUGAAGUGCGUAACCGCGAGGAGCGCCCUAGGGUAAAACUGGUGACUGGGGCU
rnacentral:rRNA from 1 species